UUUGUUUAUUUCAAAGUGUGCAAUGUAGAAUUUUUGGGUUAAGUUUGAGGGAUGAAGUGAUAGAUAUGUUUCUGUUUGGCACAGUUAAGUGGUUAAUAUGAGCUAUCGAAGCAAAUAUGGAGUAGGAUAUCUAGUUUUGGGUUUGGUCUUAGUUUGAAGAUGGCCACUGAUUACAGCUAGGUAUGUAUUAGUGUUUGUAGAUUUUUAAAUGCUUUCUGUCAAAUGUGACUAGAUUAUUGCUAGAAGCACAUGGAUCUUACACUUAAAUAAUUAUAUAUCCAUUUGUAAUGUUCAAAAUGAUAAUGCACUAUUGCUUAAAUUAUGCUUUCACGACAUCAUUUUGAAAAUCCAUGGUUGUAAUGUGUCUCUAAAUUCAGCAAUACAAGUUCUAUCAAUUAGUGUUGGAUGCAGUGACUUGAAUAAUUUAAUAUUCAUUUGCAGAAAAAAAAAGUGGAGAAAGAAAACUAAAAAUUUGCGUGCGUUCUGUUGGAAAUUUGAUUAUUUUCAUUUGAGCAUUAAAUACUGACACGAUCUUUUCGACUUCUCUUGCAUUUGAAUGAAUGGAUGAGUGCUAAUGCAUACAAAGACUUCCAUACAUGCACAAUGAAUGCUACAUCAAAGGUAUAGUAAAAUGUCAGCAAGCUUGGCCCAAGUUAUCAAGCUGGUUCGGUAGCUGGUAGAUUUGUUCAUCCGGAUUUUGGACCAUUUUCCUUGAUAAUAAGAAAGCUCCUCCAUCUGUAAAUUGAAGUGCCAAAAGAGAGAUGGAAGUGAAUGACUAGAGAGUUAGUGAUUGUGUGGGAAGCUUUGGGUAUAAUUGGGGUUUGGGUGUGAGAUAAAAUAAUUUGAGAGUGUGGUUGUAAUAAUUUUUCAUAUAGUGAAAUAUUUUAUCUCAUUGUCCUUAGCAACCGUGGUUUUUUAUUUUGGUAAAUGAGUUUUCCAAGAAAAUUGUGUGUUUUGUGAUUGGAGUACUCUCUAUUUUAUUUUAUUUUUAUUAUUUAUUUGACGUAUUGCUAGCAGAGAUCUUGUGUGGGAUCCAAAAAUUCCCAACAAUUACCAAUUGUUUUACUCUAUUCCGAACAGAGCAUGAAGGGAUUCACUUAUCUAAUUAUGUCUUUUAUACUUUAACUUCACUUGAUUUCACGUUGUCCCUCACCUUUAUUAAAGUUGUAUAUGUUGGGGUAUUAGGUUCAUCACAAGGAUCAUAUUAAGUCUAAGGAGCAUAGUUUAUCGGCUGCACUCAAGCGUAGCUGAAUAUUUGGAUUCAAAACUGUUAUAAGGUUGUUACAGAUGCAAGGCUGUUGCUAGGGGUGGGCAUAAACCCACAACCCAUGGGUUUACCCAAACUCAAACCAAAUAAAAUGGUUUGGGUUGGAUAAAUCAUGAAAUAGGUUAAAUUUGGGUUUUUAUGGAAGAAAUCAUUUCACAAUGGUUUGGGUAUAGUUUACUUAUGGGUCAUGAACAAAUUCAAGGUAACAUAUCAAUGAAAAAUAAAUUAAACAAAAUAAAAGGCUAAAUCAAUAUUUUAAUAAUAAUUUUUUAUUAAAAUUAUUAUUAUAUAAUAAUUAUACCACUAGUAAUAAUUAUUAUAUAGCAAUUAUACUACUACUAAUUAUUAUUAUAUAAUAAUAAUAAUAGAAGUGCUGCACAGGACAAAUACAUAUGCAAUUGGAUGUAUAGUACACUAUUAUAUAACAAUUUUUUACGGUCUCAACUUGAGUUAAAAGACUAAAUUAACAUUUUAAUAAAUUACUCAAACAAUAUUUUUAUGAAAUCCUCUAAUAUAAUUUUAUAAUCCUAUUUGUAUUGUAACUUACUAAAAUUAAAAAUGUAAUUGAUUAUAAGAUUUUAUCAAAUAAAAUAUGAUUCUAUUGUUAUUUUUUAAUUAAAUUUAAACCUAAUUAGAUUUCAUGUCUAAUUUUUCUUACUGCAUUUAAAAUUUUGGCAUUUUUUCUAAUUACAAUAAAUUUUAGAUUUAUUUCUCGGAAGAUUCUGCUGUACGGCCAAAAUCUUCUUAGUGAUGGAAGGCUCAGGUCGAGGAGUAUCUGACGGUAGAACUUCUGACUUCUUACCAUUUUCUACUCUGGUCUGCCGAUUCCCACUAGGUCGCUGGGGACGAAGCCUCGGAUUGGCCACGUAACACGUCUCAAUGGUAUGGCCAAGGUGCUUGCAGGAAGCACAGUAGAGUGGGAUUUUCUCAAAAAUUACAUUUUGCCAAAAUCCAGUAGGGUUUGUUUAUUUCAAAGUGUGCAAUGUAGAAUUUUUGGGUUAAGUUUGAGGGAUGAAGUGAUAGAUAUGUUUCUGUUUGGCACAGUUAAGUGGUUAAUAUGAGCUAUCGAAGCAAAUAUGGAGUAGGAUAUCUAGUUUUGGGUUUGGUCUUAGUUUGAAGAUGGCCACUGAUUACAGCUAGGUAUGUAUUAGUGUUUGUAGAUUUUUAAAUGCUUUCUGUCAAAUGUGACUAGAUUAUUGCUAGAAGCACAUGGAUCUUACACUUAAAUAAUUAUAUAUCCAUUUGUAAUGUUCAAAAUGAUAAUGCACUAUUGCUUAAAUUAUGCUUUCACGACAUCAUUUUGAAAAUCCAUGGUUGUAAUGUGUCUCUAAAUUCAGCAAUACAAGUUCUAUCAAUUAGUGUUGGAUGCAGUGACUUGAAUAAUUUAAUAUUCAUUUGCAGAAAAAAAAAGUGGAGAAAGAAAACUAAAAAUUUGCGUGCGUUCUGUUGGAAAUUUGAUUAUUUUCAUUUGAGCAUUAAAUACUGACACGAUCUUUUCGACUUCUCUUGCAUUUGAAUGAAUGGAUGAGUGCUAAUGCAUACAAAGACUUCCAUACAUGCACAAUGAAUGCUACAUCAAAGGUAUAGUAAAAUGUCAGCAAGCUUGGCCCAAGUUAUCAAGCUGGUUCGGUAGCUGGUAGAUUUGUUCAUCCGGAUUUUGGACCAUUUUCCUUGAUAAUAAGAAAGCUCCUCCAUCUGUAAAUUGAAGUGCCAAAAGAGAGAUGGAAGUGAAUGACUAGAGAGUUAGUGAUUGUGUGGGAAGCUUUGGGUAUAAUUGGGGUUUGGGUGUGAGAUAAAAUAAUUUGAGAGUGUGGUUGUAAUAAUUUUUCAUAUAGUGAAAUAUUUUAUCUCAUUGUCCUUAGCAACCGUGGUUUUUUAUUUUGGUAAAUGAGUUUUCCAAGAAAAUUGUGUGUUUUGUGAUUGGAGUACUCUCUAUUUUAUUUUAUUUUUAUUAUUUAUUUGACGUAUUGCUAGCAGAGAUCUUGUGUGGGAUCCAAAAAUUCCCAACAAUUACCAAUUGUUUUACUCUAUUCCGAACAGAGCAUGAAGGGAUUCACUUAUCUAAUUAUGUCUUUUAUACUUUAACUUCACUUGAUUUCACGUUGUCCCUCACCUUUAUUAAAGUUGUAUAUGUUGGGGUAUUAGGUUCAUCACAAGGAUCAUAUUAAGUCUAAGGAGCAUAGUUUAUCGGCUGCACUCAAGCGUAGCUGAAUAUUUGGAUUCAAAACUGUUAUAAGGUUGUUACAGAUGCAAGGCUGUUGCUAGGGGUGGGCAUAAACCCACAACCCAUGGGUUUACCCAAACUCAAACCAAAUAAAAUGGUUUGGGUUGGAUAAAUCAUGAAAUAGGUUAAAUUUGGGUUUUUAUGGAAGAAAUCAUUUCACAAUGGUUUGGGUAUAGUUUACUUAUGGGUCAUGAACAAAUUCAAGGUAACAUAUCAAUGAAAAAUAAAUUAAACAAAAUAAAAGGCUAAAUCAAUAUUUUAAUAAUAAUUUUUUAUUAAAAUUAUUAUUAUAUAAUAAUUAUACCACUAGUAAUAAUUAUUAUAUAGCAAUUAUACUACUACUAAUUAUUAUUAUAUAAUAAUAAUAAUAGAAGUGCUGCACAGGACAAAUACAUAUGCAAUUGGAUGUAUAGUACACUAUUAUAUAACAAUUUUUUACGGUCUCAACUUGAGUUAAAAGACUAAAUUAACAUUUUAAUAAAUUACUCAAACAAUAUUUUUAUGAAAUCCUCUAAUAUAAUUUUAUAAUCCUAUUUGUAUUGUAACUUACUAAAAUUAAAAAUGUAAUUGAUUAUAAGAUUUUAUCAAAUAAAAUAUGAUUCUAUUGUUAUUUUUAAUUAAAUUUAAACCUAAUUAGAUUUCAUGUCUAAUUUUUCUUACUGCAUUUAAAAUUUUGGCGCUUUUUCUAAUUAAAAUAAAUUUUAGAUUUAUUUCUCGGAAGAUUUAAAUUUAUAAAAUUAAAUAAUUUAAUUUUGAUGGAUUGCUUUGAUACUUGAGUUGAGAUAUCUUAUCUUACUUUAAUUUGUAUUGACAUUGUUAGAAUUUAUGUUGUAAUAUGGUUAAUAUUUAAGAACAAAGUUAUUGUAAAAUCCAUUAUUCAUACUUUUUAUCCACUACAUUUUUUCAUAUUUUAAUAUUAAUUUAAUAAUCGAUAAUUAAUAUAAUUUGAUAUAGUUAAAUUUAUUAAAAUAAAAAUAUUUUGAUUAUAAAAUUCAAACCAAACCCAAAUCCAAAUAGGUUGGUUUGGGUUGGAUUAAAAAUAUUUGGGUUAGUUUGGGUUGAGUCCAAAUUUUUAUAAUUUGGUUUGGAUUGACUUAAAACCCAACCCAAAACAACUCAUGCCCACCCCUAGUUGUUGCUAUGUAAUUGUAUGUCAUGCUUGCAAGUGCGUUGUAACAGAUUGCUGAGCUGGCACCAGAUAUUUUAAGCUAAUAUUAGUAAUUAGUCUAGAGUGUUCCGAUUUAUUCUAUAAAUAGCUAGCUUAGAACCUUUAAGGUGUAUCGUAUGUUUUUGUUACACUCUAGAGCUUAGAACCUCGAGAGUGUUCCAAUUUUCUCUAUUCCCUUUUCUUUCACUUUCUCUUCCAUUUUCACGACCCCCAAACACCAUUAAUCCAUGCUUUUCUAGAGUAUUAGCUGUCUAUUUCUACAAACAUAGAAUUGAUGUUUGUUUGUCUUAUUACUUCCAAGAAACAAACUUAACAAAGUACGUUGUCCUGUCACCCAUGGUCUCCUCGUUUAUCGACUUGUGAAUAGGGCUAAAUAAACGGCAAAUAAAAUAUUGGGCCAAUGGGCCUAACAUGACAAGAUCUUGAAUUGAUUGUCUCUUUUUUUCUCCAUAAAUCUUUGCUUAAUUUUUUUUGUUCCCUCAACCUUUUUGGGCCUUUUGCGCUAAAAUUCUCUUCUGAUACAUUAUACAAAAAUAAUGAAGAAAAUGAGUUACUUUAGAACAUCAAUAAAUUUUGACAACAUCUAAAAUAAGACAAUUACACUUAGGGGUUGUUUUUUUUUUUUUUUUUUUUAACUUAAUGACUUAAUUGACUUAAUUUUUUUCAUGUCUAUCCUAAAACUUACCCAUAGACAUUUACCCCACAUAAUAAUCUCAUCAUUAAUUUUACUUAUAAAUUUUAAAAUAUUGUGGUAUUUAAUAUAUUAUUUAUUUGACAUUCAAAUUUAAUAAGGAUACAAAUGUAAAAGUACAUAUUUUCAGUUUUUUAAGUUUAAAAAAACAAACAACUUAAUACUUAUUUUCUGAGAUUCAGACGAAAAAACAAAUAUAUUAUUCAGAUUCAGACAUUCAGAUCUAUUCAGAAUUCAGACUAAUUCAGAUUUAUUCAGAUUUCAGAUAAAAAAACAAACGCCACCUAAGUCUGUUGUUUUGUCAACUUAAUGAUAAUUUUCAGUCAUUAAGUUAUUAAGCUAAUUUUUUUUAAACUUUUUGCUUAACCCAAAAAGCUUAAAUGAUAUCAUUAAAAGAUAUUCUCCAAAAUAUUCCUAUCUAAUUAAUUAAUUUUCAUCUUUACCUAAAUAAAAUUUAAUAACUAGUUAUAUUAGCCAUCUAUAUAUAGUGGUAGACUAUUAUUAUUUUUAUCUUUUUAUGUUCUUCAAAUUAGCAUUAUUUGUCUUCAUAAUUUCGUAUGAAUAUUUUUCAUAUAAAAACAUCACAGACCAUAAUAAAAUUGAUUAACACAUAUAAUAUAAAAUAUUAAAGAAUUGUAUUCAAUUUAAUAUGAUUUAUGUUAUGAUAAUUUAUUAUCUUAUUUAUAUUAUUUGAGAUGUUUAUCAUUUGUUUAACAUUAAAAUUUAUAAGGAAAUAAAUGUAAAAAUAUUAGUUUUCAAUUUUUUUAAGUUAAAAGAAAAGCUUAAUAUUUAUUUUUAAUGAUUCAGACAAAAAAAAAAUCAUUCAGAUUCAGACAAUUGGUUUUAUUCAGAAUUCAGACUAAUUUAGGUCUAUUCAGAUUUCAGAUAAAAAAAAUGUCACCUUAGAUUACUCUUAUUUAGUUGAAUUAUAUGUAAUAAAAUUGGUUUAACAAAAUCUAACUUGUAAAUAUUCCUUACAGCAUGAUAAACGUACUUAAAAAAUCUUAACUAAUCAGUUGUUUACUUUACAAUUCCUUUAUAUAUCUUGGAAACUUUUAGCUUCUUGACAUAUUAUAGUGUUCUCAAUUUGUCUAAAUUAUUUUUCUUCAAACACUAUAGCAACAACCGGUAUAAUACAGAACAAACUCAUUUACUGAAAAAUUUCUGGAUGCUUUCAUGGCAAAAUCUCAUUGAUCUAUUUCUCUUUGCACCUUUGAUUCAAGAUUUUUCUCUAUAACAAUGAUAUUCUCAUAACAGUGAGUACAAAGCUUAGUACAACAAGGACCCUUUUGCAAAUUAUUCAAAAUUUUUAUGCGAUUUUCGAAUUUAUGAUUUUUAUUAAUUUUGAUUUAUUGGAGCAUUUUUCCUUCCAUCUCUUCUACAUCUAUCCUUAAAUUUUUUUCAAAAUUUCGACUAUAUCUUUGUAAAGUUCUAAAUGAUUAUCUCGUUCAUAGAGAUCUAUAUUUAAAUUAAUUCAUGAAUUUAUAAUCAUUUGUCUUCUUUGAGUCAUAGACUAAAUCUUUUCUUCUAAUAUAUCUAUGUAUACUCCUAAGCUAUCUUCCUAGCUUAGAUACAUUUUAUCAAAGCUUUUGCAUAUAAAUUGUAAUUUGAGAUUCUGCAUCUUGAAUUAACAUCUCUAUAUUAUUAUUAUUAUCCAUUGUUUUAUUCUCGAUUUUGAGUUCUAUUGUUAGCCUAGCAUCUGUCUUGGAUUAUUUCGAGCCUAGAUAGAAUUGAUUCUAUUAAUGCUAUCUUGUUUUCUUCUUCAAAUGAAUCAAAUAUUUCUGGAUCAUUAAUUCUUUUCAUUUCUUCAUACAAGGUUUACUUGUAUUUAAUCUAGUUUUAACUAUGGAAAUUGUAUAAGCAACUUGAUAUUCUCGACUAAAGUCUAAAUGAUCAAUUGCAUCUACAAAUUUAUUAACAAAUCUUUCCAUUUUUAUGAAAUUGAGUUACUCUUAUCACUUCCUAUCUUAUAACAUCUCAGAAAAACAAACAAGGCCCAACAUGCUUCCGUUUGUAGCUGAAAUAAAAGAAAAAAAAUUUAAGAUUACUAACCGGUGUACUCUCUCAGAAUUCUGAGAUAGAUUCACUAAUUGCUUCCAACCAUAGAAAGGUCCAUGGUCAGCACCGUCAUAGCUCCACACAUCAUACAAGAUCACUUCAAUGACUAUUCCACAUGGCCCAAUGCAACACACAUCAAACUGGCCUAAUAUGAUAUGUCUAAGUGAUUUCCUUGCAGUUGACUUUGGGAGAGUGCUUAGUAAUAGAAAAUCUUCUUCGUUUAGCACAAGUAUUGGCAUGUAAGAUUCUUGGUUAAUUUCUAAGAAUAUAUAAAAUAUUUGGAAGUUGAUAAUUUCACUCAAAAGAGUUUUAUUUAUUUCAUCAUUGAUAUUGCUUGCAAAGGGUGGUUACAGAGAAUACAGAUAAGGGUGAAGGUUAGACAUGUGAUGU
rnacentral:lncRNA from 1 species